rnacentral:rRNA from 1 species
AUUGAACGCUGGCGGGAUGCCUAACACAUGCAAGUCGAACGAGUGGCGGACGGGUGAGUAAUAUAUUGGAACGUGCCCAAUCGAGGGGGAUAACUACUCGAAACCGUGGCUAAUACCGCAUACUAUUGGAUCGGCCGAUAUGGGAUUAGCUAGUUGGGGGGGUAAAGGCUCACCAAGGCGACGAUCCCUAGCUGGUCUGAGAGGAUGACCAGCCACAAUGGAACUGAGACACGGCCCAGACGCCUACGGGAGGCAGCAGUGGGGAAUAUUGGACAAUGGGGGAAAGCCUGAUGCAGCAAUGCCGCGUGUAUGAAGAAGGCGUUCGGGUUGUAAAGUACUUUUGGCAGAGAAGCGGUAUCUGCAGAAGAAGCACCGGCUAACUACGUGCCAGCAGCCGCGGUAAUAC